AUUGAACGCUGGCGGCAUGCCUUACACAUGCAAGUCGAACGGUAACAGGCCGCAAGGUGCUGACGAGUGGCGAACGGGUGAGUAAUGCAUCGGAACGUGCCCAGUAGUGGGGGAUAGCCCGGCGAAAGCCGGAUUAAUACCGCAUACGACCUGAGGGUGAAAGGGGGGGAUCGCAAGACCUCUCGCUAUUGGAGCGGCCGAUGUCAGAUUAGCUAGUUGGUGGGGUAAAGGCCUACCAAGGCAACGAUCUGUAGUUGGUCUGAGAGGACGACCAGCCACACUGGGACUGAGACACGGCCCAGACUCCUACGGGAGGCAGCAGUGGGGAAUUUUGGACAAUGGGCGCAAGCCUGAUCCAGCAAUGCCGCGUGCAGGAAGAAGGCCUUCGGGUUGUAAACUGCUUUUGUCAGGGAAGAAAUCUUCUGGGUUAAUACCUCGGGAGGAUGACGGUACCUGAAGAAUAAGCACCGGCUAACUACGUGCCAGCCGCCGCCGUAACAC
rnacentral:rRNA from 1 species